AGCGUAUAUUAAAUUUGUUGCAGUUAAAACGCUCGUAGUUGAACUUAGAAUUAUUACAAGUUUGGUUUAAUUGAUUUUAAACUGCUUGCUUAAUUCUUAUCUACUAGAUACUCUAUUCUGUACUUAAUUGUAUGGAAUAUCACCUAGCCAGUGGAACUUUGGUAGAAUAAUGCCUUUUUUAAUACCAGAGUGUAAAAACUUGAAGUGUUAAAUUGGGAUCACAUUAUUUUAUUGAAGUGGGGUUCUAGUUAAUUUACUUUGAGUAAAUUAGAGUGUUCAAAGCAGCCUCUUGGGGCUUUGAAUAGAUUUAGCAUGGGAUAAUAGAAUAGGAUUUGAUAAUCUAUUUGUUGGUUUGAAUUAAUCAAAUAAUGAUUAAUAGGGACAGUUGGGGGCAUUCAUAUUAAGUGGUUAGCGGUGAAAUGUGUGGACCCACUUAAGAUGAACUAAAGCGAAAGCAUUUGCCAAGGAUGUUUUUCAUUAAUCAAGAACGAAAGUUAAGGGAUCGAAGACGAUUAGAUACCGUCGUAGUCUUGACUGUAAACUAUGCCGACCAGGG
rnacentral:rRNA from 1 species